rnacentral:rRNA from 1 species
UACGGGGGGGGCAAGCGUUGUUCGGAAUUACGUGGGCGUAAAGGGGACGUAGGCGGCCAACUAAGUCCGACGUGAAAUCCCAAGGCUUAACCUUGGAACUGCGUCGGAUACUGGAUGGCCUUGAAUUCGGGAGAGGGAUGCAGAAUUCCAGGGUGAUGAGCGGUGUAAAUGCGUAGAUAUACUGGAGGAAUACCGGUGGCGAAGGCGGCAUCCUGGACCGACAGUUGACGCUGAAGCCGAAAGCUAGGGGAGCAAACGGG